rnacentral:piRNA from 1 species
UGCCUUGCGUGUAAGUGGAUCUGGGUUC